AUCCCAGAUAAUGAUUGUCGUGAUUUUCUGAUCCAUGUGGGGCAAAGAAUAAGGAUGGGUAGUUCGUUGAUAACAACUUUAAUUUCAUCAAAAGUUGUUCUGAUAGCACCUCUACACGCAAUA